rnacentral:rRNA from 1 species
AGUGAGCGCUGGCGGUAGGCCUAACACAUGCAAGUCGAACGGCAGCACAGUAAGAGCUUGCUCUUACGGGUGGCGAGUGGCGGACGGGUGAGGAAUACAUCGGAAUCUACUUUUUCGUGGGGGAUAACGUAGGGAAACUUACGCUAAUACCGCAUACGACCUACGGGUGAAAGCAGGGGAUCUUCGGACCUUGCGCGAUUGAAUGAGCCGAUGUCGGAUUAGCUAGUUGGCGGGGUAGAGGCCCACCAAGGCGACGAUCCGUAGCUGGUCUGAGAGGAUGAUCAGCCACACUGGAACUGAGACACGGUCCAGACUCCUACGGGAGGCAGCAGUGGGGAAUAUUGGACAAUGGGCGCAAGCCUGAUCCAGCCAUACCGCGUGGGUGAAGAAGGCCUUCGGGUUGUAAAGCCCUUUUGUUGGGAAAGAAAAGCAGCAGGUUAAUACCCCGCUGUUCUGACGGUACCCAAAGAAUAAGCACCGGCUAACUUCGUG